UACUCGAGUGGCGAACGGGUGAGUAACACGUGGGUGAUCUGCCCUGCACUUCGGGAUAAGCCUGGGAAACUGGGUCUAAUACCGGAUAUGACCACAUUUUGGAUGGUGUGGUGGAAAGUUUUUCGGUGUGGGAUGAGCUCGCGGCCUAUCAGCUUGUUGGUGGGGUAAUGGCCUACCAAGGCGUCGACGGGUAGCCGGCCUGAGAGGGUGUACGGCCACAUUGGGACUGAGAUACGGCCCAG
rnacentral:rRNA from 1 species